AUGGAAACUCCUUUCCUCCCCGCGCUCAACGUCAGGCGUGUGAAAGGAAUAUUUGCCCGGGUGCAAACCGAGGCCCGUGAAGCGGAGUGUUCCGCUUCCUAACAGGGCGUGAGAGUCAACGUGGAGCGAGGCCUGGGCGUAAGCGAGGGGUUUUGUGUGUGUGUGUGUGUGUUGUGUGGUGGGGCCGAAUUUUCCUGCGCUGACCAUCUUUUUCUUGCAGGUCAACCUUCUGAAUAUGCACGCCAAGUGCCCCUUCUGCCCGGCGUGGCACCUUCCUGGGGGACUGGCCCUGGGACCUUAGCUGUCCUCGGAGAAGGGUCUGGGAGUAUGGUGUGUGGGGCACGCUCUGGAGCCGGGAAUGUCGCUGCUGCUUGGGCCGCAGGUCGAAGAACAGAAGGCGGCUGCUUCCUUGUCGGCAUGCCCAUUACCCAGCUGGAAAGAGGCAUCUGCUUGUAAUGGGAUAUCCCACUGGCGGAGCUUGGUGAAGCAAAGCCGUGCUGAAGAUGAAGCCAAUGUAAUGUUGGAAUGGAUCAACAGGGAACUGCACAUCAAAGUCUGCUGUCCUAUUGAUUUGGGCAGUGAACUGCCAUGCUGGUUAACUGAAUCACAGGACAGUCCUACUUGUCUGAAAAAUAAUAUCCUAGCACAUACCUCAGAUGGGAAACUUGAUACAGAAAAGAAAACAUUGCAAAACAUGCCAGUAAUAACCACAACCAAGUAUAGAUUUAGAAGAGGAAACUUUGCUACACAAAGAUGAUAUUGUCCAGGAUUCCUCUGCAGGCCCCUGCAGGGAGUUUUUGAGCCCCUUCUAUCCAAGAUGGGAUGUAUCACCUGAAACAGCCACAGAAUGGCGAUAAAGGCGGAGAAGUACUGAUGCUUCCUCACCCUUACUCUACCACAAGGUAGGCCUUGAUAGCAGCUCUAACCUGUGUCCAAUUA
ensembl:lncRNA